CACGUAGGGGGCAAGCGUUGUCCGGAAUCAUUGGGCGUAAAGAGCUCGUAGGCGGCUCAGUAAGUCGGGUGUGAAACCUCCAGGCUCAACCUGGAGACGCCACCCGAUACUGCUGUGGCUAGAGUCCAGUAGGGGAGUGUGGAAUUCCCGGUGUAGCGGUGAAAUGCGCAGAUAUCGGGAGGAACACCAGUGGCGAAAGCGGCUUCCUGGACCAAUACUGACACUAAGGUGCGAAAGCGUGGGGAGCAAACAGG
rnacentral:rRNA from 1 species